UAACGCGGCCUUUAAAUACUCCUGUCGCACAUCGUGAGGUUCUCUUUUCUUCGUCCGCUGACUUGCGAAAGUUUUGGUCAAAGUACGAGCAAUGAGUAAAAGUUCAGAGCUGGACCAUCAUGCCAGUGAACCUCCCAGUCACCGACUGGUCCACAUCUGGUGCUGGGAUGACCUUUAACCCUUAACCCAUCAACCUCGAAGCUCUUAGAUGUAAUCUUAUGCAUAAGCCAGCUGGGUUCAUCCGUCGGCCAUCUUUAACGAGGUCUUUGUGUCUCUGAGGUCUAUCCCGACGGGCCCUUCAUGUAGGGCCACGUCGUUGGAAAUGCCUCAAAGAGGAAAUCUGUGGUUUCGCUUUACCCAGGUGUUCUGCUGUGAGCAUUAUGGGAUACAACUGCAGGACAACAACAUGAGGACAAGCUUCAGAAAGACGGAUUAUCGGCCAGAUUUAACAGAGACGUGUGUUUCAGGUCACAGGUGUGGCAGAAAUGACCCAGACGGCGUCAGAAUGCAAGAUGGCGGCGGGAUGAUUUGCUCCUGGGGCUGAGCAUCAUCUGAUGAGAUCCAGCUUUUCUGGUUCAGCUGAAGCAUGGAUGUUGUAAAGUGAAGUUUAAACAGGGAUUCUGUCACAGUCGUGGACCAGCUGAGGGGAGUUUGCUUUGAUGCAUCAUCAUCUCCAGAUUAAAACUAAAUGAAUAUUUCUUGUUCUAUAUAAACUUUAGUAAUUUGUAAGCAGAUUUUUCUUUUGUACAAAAAUAAAUAUAAGAUCAAAGAAUC